rnacentral:lncRNA from 1 species
UCACACUGAAAUCUAAACUGUAAAAAAGUGGUACUACAAAGUACUUAACCCUCUUUCAGGUUGCUGUAAUAGACACAUUAAGUAGGGCAUGUACAUCAGAAUGUCUAAGUUAUGUUACUUGCCAAAAUCGCUUAAAAACUUCAGUGGUGUUUUAUUGCUUAGUAUAUAUAUAAAUUCACAACAAAAAGGUGGACAUGCUCCAAAUGCUGUCUAGUUCCUCAGGUGUAAUGUUUGUGAAUGUCUAUAGAGUAUCACAGUGACUAAUAUAACUAAAGCAACAAUCGAGACCGUGAAGUCUUUGGACUAACGAACUUCUUUAAUAAAUAACAGGUCACUAAGCAUAUAAUCAGUUAUGCUAGUUGGAAAGAAUAUUAGGUUGACUUGUGCUGCUAUUGGUAAGCCCUAAAUAAUUAUUUAAAUUGAAUAUUCAAAAGCUUGGCAUGUUUCAUUCACAAAAUCAAUUGCAUUCACAGACAUUAUAAUUCUUAGUACAGAGGCGAUAUAAUGAAAUGUGAAGUAUGACUAGUGUAUUAAGGAUUAUGUCCAAUUUCACACUACAAUGAAGUAAAUUCGGGAUUACAUACCAGGAAAGUAACAGAGGGAGACACAGAGAAGAAGAAGAGGAGUUAACCAAAUUACCAUUUUACACUAAUUUCUUCCUGUACCAAAUUACAUUCUUCCGGAAAUUCAAUAAAUAUGUGAGAAUCCAUAUUAUGAUUUCCUUAAUAUAUUUACAAGUCCCAGAUCAUACACGGCUAUUUCCCUAAUUGAUCUCAUCAAGUCAAGAUUCAGUUUUAAAUUAAGCUAGAUAUCACAAAAACAAGACAAUCUUGAUAAGUAUUAGAUUUUAACACAUUUAACAGCAAAUUAAAGGAAACAAUCAAGUAAACUGAUCAGAAUAUUAAUAAAACCACACUAUCUGGCAGGUUUAGAAACUUAAUCAAUAUACUUAUUACAUUACAUGAAUAAAAUUGAAGUAUUAGAUUUAUUUAAUCGUUCAAGAGAAGGCCUAGGUUUCUUACAGUUUCGCUUUAUCAAUUCCUUCCUACGGUCCUGGGAUUUGACUAAAUUAAGCUAAAAUCUAGUUGUGAUGUCCAACAAAACAAAAAUUAACAUCACUUUAGUAAACAAAAUCUACAAUCCUCUGAAGGGAAAAUUUACUUGUUAGAUCAAAUAGUACGGACAAAAACUGAUAAGAAACAGCAAUGAAACUCGCCAACUCACCUGAAAGAACCCAGUCCGCCGCAAAUCGUUGUCCACUAGUGCUCUCAAAAUUUCUUAAAUAAAAAAGAGACCUGAGUUGACAUAGGAUUGAUAUAUGGUGAGUUGGACGGUCAGGAUAUGGUGAUGAGUUGGUGAGAUUGCAUCAUAUGAUGACAAAUGUCAGUAUAAAUGUACCCCACUACAGAUCAAUUGAGUUGGGCUGGAUCGAGAUCACUACCCCAAGGCUUAUUACAUGACCAAUGAUCGGAUAAUGGCGAGGGACUAAUAUUCUUUUUCAAAAAUACUAUGAUUUAUAUAUUAACUUAAUCACAAAUUGCUCACAUACAUGAACUCAUUCGAUAAAUAUAAAAGUGAAUCCAGGAUUAAGUUAAUAUAUAUGGAUCAUAGUUUUUUGUGAAAAUAUAUAUUAGUCCAUCAGCGUUAUCUGGUCAUUGGUCAAGUAAUAGGCUUUUGGGGGUAGUGUCUCGAUCCUAACCACCUCAAAUGAUCCAUAGUGGGGUACGUCUAUAGUAACAUGUGUCUUCAUAUGGUGCAAUAUCACAAACCCAUCACCUUAUCCUAACCGUCCACCUCAUCGUAUAUCUUUUUUUUAUUUAAAAAAUUUUGAGAGCAUUACAGGAGGGCGAUUUGGCGCGGACUAGGAUAAUUUCAGGUGAGUUGGCGAGUUCCACUGCCGAUCCCGUUCAUUUUUUGUCGUACUAUCUGAUCAACAAGCACAAUCUUGAUAAGUAUUAGAUUUUAACACAUUUAACAGCAAAUUAAAGGAAACAAUCAAGUAAACUGAUCAGAAUAUUAAUAAAACCACACUAUCUGGCAGGUUUAGAAACUUAAUCAAUAUACUUAUUACAUUACAUGAAUAAAAUUGAAGUAUUAGAUUUAUUUAAUCGUUCAAGAGAAGGCCUAGGUUUCUUACAGUUUCGCUUUAUCAAUUCCUUCCUACGGUCCUGGGAUUUGACUAAAUUAAGCUAAAAUCUAGUUGUGAUGUCCAACAAAACAAAAAUUAACAUCACUUUAGUAAACAAAAUCU